rnacentral:rRNA from 1 species
UACGUAGGGUGCGAGCGUUGUCCGGAAUUACUGGGCGUAAAGAGCCCGUAGGUGGUUUGUCGCGUUGUUCGUGAAAACUCACAGCUUAACUGUGGGCGUGCGGGCGAUACGGGCAGACUGGAGUACUGCAGGGGAGACUGGAAUUCCUGGUGUAGCGGUGGAAUGCGCAGAUAUCAGGAGGAACACCGGUGGCGAAGGCGGGUCUCUGGGCAGUAACUGACGCUGAGGAGCGAAAGCGUGGGGAGCGAACAGG